UUGUCUCAAAGAUUAAGCCAUGCAUGUCUCAGUACAAGCCGAAUUAAGGUGAAACCGCGAAAGGCUCAUUAAAUCAGUUAUGGUUCCUUAGAUCGUACCCAAAUUUACUUGGAUAACUGUGGUAAUUCUAGAGCUAAUACAUGCAAACAGAGCUCCGACCGGAGACGGAAGGAGCGCUUUUAUUAGAUCAAAACCAAUCGGCGUCGGGCGCAAGCCCGUCGUCGUUCAUUCUGGCGAAUCUGAAUAACUUUCUGCUGAUCGCACGGUCUAGCACCGGCGACGCAUCUUUCAAAUGUCUGCCUUAUCAACUGUCGAUGGUAGGUUCCGUGCCUACCAUGGUCGUAACGGGUAACGGGGAAUCAGGGUUCGAUUCCGGAGAGGGAGCCUGAGAAACGGCUACCACAUCCAAGGAAGGCAGCAGGCGCGCAAAUUACCCACUCCCGGCACGGGGAGGUAGUGACGAAAAAUAACGAUACGGGACUCAUCCGAGGCCCCGUAAUCGGAAUGAGUACACUCUAAACCCUAUAACGAGGAUCAAUUGGAGGGCAAGUCUGGUGCCAGCAGCCGCGGUAAUUCCAGCUCCAAUAGCGUAUAUUAAAGUUGUUGCGGUUAAAAAGCUCGUAGUCGAAUCUGUGUCUCGCGCCGCCGGUUCAUCGCUCGCGGUGUUUAACUGGCGUGUCUCGCGAGACGUCCUGCCGGUGGGCUUAGCCCGCGAGGGCGGCCCAACUCUUCGAAUCCCGCCGCGGUGCUCUUCAUUGAGUGUCGAGGCGGGCCGGCACGUUUACUUUGAACAAAUUAGAGUGCUUAAAGCAGGCUAAAACUUCGCCUGAAUACCGUGUGCAUGGAAUAAUGGAAUAGGACCUCGGUUCUAUUUUGUUGGUUUUCGGAACCCCGAGGUAAUGAUUAAUAGGAACGGAUGGGGGCAUUCGUAUUGCGACGUUAGAGGUGAAAUUCUUGGAUCGUCGCAAGACGGACGGAAGCGAAAGCAUUUGCCAAAAA
rnacentral:rRNA from 1 species